CCGCCCUACGACAUAGAUGCUUGAAUCGAAUGCUGCUAAAAGGGUUCUAUACUUCAAAAAGUCUUUGCUUCUCCUUAGGUAUAUUCCUUUACUCUGCUCCAUUUAGGCUUUUAAUGUUUAUGUAUUAUGGUAAUUAGAUUUUGAACGUAUAGGUGCGCUAAGAUCUUGUUAGAAUGAGUCAUUGGUAUGAAAUAAUUAUAUCUCCAAAUUAGGAAACUGAUGGUGCUACCUCAUUCUAUGACACUUUCCAUCACCUUCACACACAGAUACAUAGUUGGUAGUACUCUAGAAAAAUAAUUAGUAGUGGUGGGCUUCUUUUGAUGUGGAUUUUACAGUUAUCACAGCCUGAAGUCUACUUAGGUUAUUUGAGAUGAUUGAUCAUUCCCAUGGCAAGUCUACAUUUUUGCAAUUUGUUUUAUGUGAGCUUGAAUAGAUAUAAAGAACAUAUUUCUAAUACUUCCAUAGAAUGUCUUUUUGGUGCUUGUCAAUGUGUCAUCUAUUUUUGUGCUUGUGUUAUUAUUUUGAUAUUGAGGAUACUCUUGUAUAAUUAAAUUGUUAGAACUUUCUAUGGAAUAUGCAAUUAGUAUAUAAUAUAAGGUCUUUCUGUUUUUGUGAUAAUUAAUUCUGCAUACAGAACCAUAUGCAUGACAUCAAUCUAUACAUUUGAAGUUUUCACUCUUUUUGUUGUGAAAGAAAUUUCAGUGGAGAUGAACUAAAACAGGGGAAGAAUGCGUUUUUCAUCUCUUAAUUUUACAGCUUCUGUUGAUAAGGAUGCCAGUUGGAGGACUUGUCAGCUCUUAAUUUUACAGCUUCUGGUGAUAAGGAUGCCAGUUAGGGUAUUUGGAUCAAUAGGUCAUAUCAGUGAUGUAUCGAUGUGCAGCCAAUGUAAGUAACUGGUCCGACGGUUAAAUUUCCACUCAUGAUUGGGUUCAAGACAAUUUGAAGGAAGUAUGUAGUUUGAAAUUUAUUUGGGCUUUUUGGAUGAGGAUAAGUGGAUGCGCCUUCUGGAAAAUUAUUUUUCGUAUAAAUUGUAUGUCAAGGUUACUGGUUAUAUAUAUAAUGUGAACCAACUUGCGCUACUAAAUUCUAUGUAAAUUUUAAAUAUUUUUAAUAAUUAUUUACUUUAGUUUGCUUAUGGUAGGAAUCGAAAAAUCGAAGUAGUACGUAUGAUCGUGACAUUUUCUCUUAAAGCUGCUGAUUAAUCUUCUGAAUUAUAUUAAUGUAGCCUGCUAAUAUCUUUAUCGUACAUAGAUACUUUCAGCAUGCCUCCAGUGAGAUGUAUGCAAUUCCACGAGCAUUGGGGAAGAAUGCAUUCUUCAUCUCUUAAUUUUACAGCUUCUGGUGAUAAGGAUGCCAGUUGGAGGACUUGUCAGCUCUAAUUGGCAUCUUCUAUGCAACCAGUAGUGGAAGUGAAUCAAACCAAACUUGACCCUUACCUUAAAUGUUCCUCUGAUGUUGUAAACAACCUUGUUACCAACUACCUGUUUUUGCAGCUCCAAAGCAACUUUUGGAGGCAAAUAUACCAAGCUGGAUAUAAAACGCACCGAGAUUAAUCUGGCCUCUCUUGGUUUUUGGCUAAAAGGCAGGAGAACUUGGCUUGCGUAGGUUGUCAGAAAAGUAAAGCUCUAUUGCCAACCUAUGUGUAAAGUUCGAAAGAAUUCUACAUCAAGAAGGAUACCUUGCCCAUUGCUUCCGUACUUCCUACUAACCUUUGGAGGUCAAGGAAAAUUAAAUUGCAAUGUUUUACAUAAUUAAGUUUUUAUUACUAUAUGUUUUGUGCGCUGCUAAUUAUAUUGUUUCACACACCAGCGAUAAGGUUGACUUGGUAGUGCUUAGCUGUUAUGAAGAAAUCAUCCAAGUUCCUCCCUGUCAUAGGCCGGUCAAUGUGGUUCUCUGAGUAUAUAUUUCUUGAAUGGAGCUGGGCUACGGAUGGAAAUAUGCUUCAAGUCUGGGUGUGUUAUGUUGCACUCAAGAAAAAUACAAGAAAAUGGCUCGAAGCCCAGGUGGUUCAGAAGAGAAAAAAGGUAAUUAUCGGGAGGCUUGGACUUUUGGAGCUGUUGACCCAACAGCGGCACAACAGCUUUACUUCAGGUCAUGCAGGGUUUAUGCAGGCUCUUUUAUAAAGGUUGUUGAUAGGCUAAGGAAGUUGCAGAAAAAGGGGUGAAAACCAAGAUUGACAAUCAUCUUUGUAAUUGUGUUGCUGAUAGGCUAAGGAAUUUGCAGAAAAAGGGGUGAAAACCAAGAUUGACCUUCAUCUUUUAUAAUUGGGACGCAAAAGAGUAUGGCUUGGUCUCUUUUUCUAACUCUAUUUCACUGAACACAAACUAGAGAUGCACACAAUUAAAUUCACUUAAUUUAAGUUGUUACCAUUUUUCAGAUAGGAUCAAUAUGAUAGGUUAAUGAGAAUAGAGAAAGGCUAGCCUCAAGGGCUGUAGCUUACCUUAAUGUUGACAUUGUUGCAGCUGGUUGAAUAGGAUUUAUGCAGCAUCAACUCCAAAAGUGGAUCAAUUAUUAAUGAAAGCUACUCGAUAGGUAUUAUAAUGAUACACGAAAAUUGUCAAUCAGAAUUAGGACUAGCAUAACAAAUAUGGAAGUAUCAUAAGGUUAUAAUAAUACAUAACAAAAAUUACUUAAUACUAUACUAAGAUGUAAUAUAAAUACAAUAGGGCUGUUUGAUUCAGGGUAUUUCAACCUAGUAGGUAAUCUCAAUGUUAUUUUCAUGUGUAGAUAUUCCAUAGCAACAAAGCAAAUCAUACAGAAUCAUGAGUAUAACUAUGUCGAUUAUAUCUGUGCUUGUGUAUUUAUUAGCAUUUCACAAUUUUUUUCUAAUGCCCACUUCGGUCAUAGUUACUAAUAUAACAGGCAGACAUUAAUGAUUAAACGUGGAUCAUUGUUACUGUUGCUAUACUCUUCGUUCCCGAUAUAGUUUAUUUGAACUCUAAGCCAUAGUUUUCGCAAUUGUAUGUUAUUUUGCACAAACAAGAAUAGUUAGGGUAUUUGGAUCAAUAGGUCAUAUCAGUGAUGUAUCGAUGUGCAGCCAAUGUAAGUAACUGGUCCGACGGUUAAAUUUCCACUCAUGAUUGGGUUCAAGACAAUUGGAAGGAAGUAUGUAGUUUGAAAUUUAUUUGGGCUUUUUGGAUGAGGAUAAGUCAAUGCGCCUUCUGGAAAAUUAUUUUUUGUAUAAAUUGUAUGUCAAAGUUACUGGUUAUAUAUAUAAUGUGAACCAACUUGCGCUACUAAAUUUUAUGUAAAUUUUAAAUAUUUUUAUUAAUUAUUUACUUUAGUUUGCUUAUGGUAGGACUCGAAGAUCGAAGUAGUACGUAUGAUCGUGAUAUUUUCUCUUAAAGCUGAUGAUUAAUCUUCUGAAUUAUAUUAAUGUAGCCUUCUAAUAUCUUGCAUGCCUCCAGUGAGAUGUAUGCAAUUCCACGAGCAUUGGCUCAUUUUAUCGUAAUUAACAGGUAGGGUGCUAGUUUUCAGUCUUUUGUCCUAUGUGAAAUGAUACAGGCGGUCAUGGAAGUUCUAGUUUCUCAGUCUCUAGGAUAAUAAAAAUCAUCUUUCACUUUGGUUGUGAUAACUUAUGAGUGAUCUACAUAACCCUGUGGCAAAAGAAAAAAAGAAGAAGAAAAGGGUGAGUUACGCGGUCUUGUUAAUGAAGGGAUAUAGUGGUUAAAGGUUGUGGAGCAAAUAAGUUGCAAAUUAACAUAUAGAGUUUUUUUUGUGGAUCAAUCUUCUGUUUAUAUGCAGAUGAUGAUGUCAGUGUUGGAUCAUGGUUCAUUGGUCUUGAUGUAAUGCAUGCUAAUGAAACUAUAUAAGGCUGCUCUUAGUGACCAUCCGGGGGAUGUACGUGUGUCUUUAUGAUCCAACUGAGAGGCUGACUUUACCUGCACAAAUGUAAAUCCUAAUUGGCUACAAUUACUGAGUUUGGUGGUCUUCUGCUUUGCUGUGUGCAUGAGAAUUCAAAAACUGUUGGCAAGAGCUACAAAUGCCUGGUGCUGAUCGCUGAUAUUUUUAUUUUUGGAAGAUUUGUACGAUUUCUUUGCCAAUUUACUGUGUAAAUUGUAUUUUGACUAAUGAGUCCGAUGCAUGAAUUUUAAUUUGAUUGGCAUA